GUGCUCGCUUUGGCAGCACAUAUACUAAAAUUGGAAUGAUACAGAGAAGAUUAGCAUAGCCCCUGUGCAAGGAUGACAAAUAAACACAUAAGAGAAAGGAUAAAACUCU